GACGAACGCUGGCGGCGUGCUUAACACAUGCAAGUCGAACGGAAAGGCCCUGCUUUUGUGGGGUGCUCGAGUGGCGAACGGGUGAGUAACACGUGAGUAACCUGCCCUUGACUUUGGGAUAACUUCAGGAAACUGGGGCUAAUACCGGAUAGGAGCUCCUGCUGCAUGGUGGGGGUUGGAAAGUUUCGGCGGUUGGGGAUGGACUCGCGGCUUAUCAGCUUGUUGGUGGGGUAGUGUCUUACCAAGGCUUUGACGGGUAGCCGGCCUGAGAGGGUGACCGACCACAUUGGGACUGAGAUACGGCACAGACUCCUACAGGAGGCAGCAGUGGGGAAUAUUGCACAAUGGGCGGACGCCUGAUGCAGAAACGCCGCGUGCGGGAUAACGGCCUUCGGGUUGUAAACCGCAUUCGCCUGUGACGAAGCGUGAGUGACGGUAAUGGGUAAAGAAGCACCGGCUAACUACGUG
rnacentral:rRNA from 1 species